rnacentral:rRNA from 1 species
ACACAUGCAAGUCGAGCGGCAGCAGGUCCUUCGGGAUGCUGGCGAGCGGCGGACGGGUGAGUAACGCGUGGGAAUCUGCCCAUCGGUGGGGGAUAGCCCGAGGAAACUCGGAUUAAUACCGCAUACGCCCUUCGGGGCAAAGUGGACCUCUGAUUCAAGUUCAUGCCGAUGGAUGAGCCCGCGGCCGAUUAGCUAGUUGGUGGGGUAAAGGCCUACCAAGGCGACGAUCGGUAGCUGGUCUGAGAGGACGAUCAGCCACACCGGAACUGAGACACGGUCCGGACUCCUACGGGAGGCAGCAGUGGGGAAUA